UUCGCCAGCGGAUAGAACGCGACUAUCGCGUUGAAAAUAUCACUGCUGAAUCCGCCGGCGAUACGCCUACGAUUUUCGCAACGAGUUUUUUCAUUUUUUUCACUGCGAUUUCCGCCGUCUAUUCGCCCGCGAUACGCCUACGAUUUUUGCAACGAGAUUUUUCAUUUUUUUCACUGCGAUUUCUGCCUUCUAUUCGCCGGCGAAUCGAACGCGAUUUUCGCGACCGCGAUUUCCGCCGGCGAUUCGCGUUCGGCGUGUUUACCGGGUAUUUCCAUACUGCAUGGAGGAAGAUCCUAUACUCGUAUCGUUUUCAUGAAUGAAUUAGUUUUUGGUAUAUAAUCAAACUGGUUACUCUUCUGAUGAAAUACGCCCGCACAUCGAAAGGAAAAGUUCACCGACAGGAAAUUUAAUUGACAGCUCAUUAAGCCGAUCUUGCAUAUUACACAUGUUAGUCACGUAAUUCGCGUUGUGAUACAUGGUGAGGCGAGGUGCUGUCUAUCUAUCCACUAUAUUUGAAUGAGCAGAAAGAAAUGCAGUAAACUUGUCCUGGAAUCUCGAACGUUGUGCCAAAAUUUCUCCUCUUUGCAGCUUUCUUCCGCUACAAUAGUUAUUCUCAUUUGUGACCAGCGAAGGAUAAUAGGAUCAAAAAUCGCGAAAACGAUGGGUAUUAUGGUCGACGCACGAAGAUAUACAAACAUUCAACUAGUUGAGCUAAAGGUGUUGCCGAUUUGGGGUUUCAACUGGAGAACAACGCGAAUAUAUUUUGAAAGACGUGUCGAAGAAGUUGCCUACUCUCAACUCAAGGCACAAACAUUAUUCAGAAUACGUGAACAUAAUAUGCACUGAGGAGAUUCAAAUGCACGUGACUGGGGUACGUUCUAGAGAAUUGUUUUCAUUCAAUAUCUGUUUUAAAAUUUCUUCAUUACUUUUUUUGGAAUUCAAUUAUUGAAAAUUUCGAGGCUUUUGUUUGAAUUUUUAAAAAAUUAUUAUGGUAAAUAAAAUUUUAAUUUUUAAAAAAUAAUUUGAUAUUUAAAUUCUAUUUAUACUGGUCUGAGUUUUAAAUAACAGCCACGGUCCACAAUUUCGAAGGAUAAAAUACAAUAUAUUUUACAAUUUGAGAAAAAAAAUUUUGCACUUUUUUUUAAUCAAUUGACAUUAACUGAAUCUGAUUUUAACUUCUCAAAUGCUAUUUCGCUAUAUUGUUAUCUCAGCCUCUUGUAAAAUUUUAUUUCAUGGACUCAACCAAUCACAAAACAAUAAAAUCAAAUACGGCCACUUCCAUUUUUGAACCAAUCAAAUCACCAGUUUGGCGCCUAACCCAAAAAAGGUUUUCAGUGGAGAGUGGCAAAAUUUGAAAAUCUGCUCAAAUAUCAUAUUGUGUCAUAACAAAAUAAUAUUUUAUUAUGCAUUUUUGAGUCUCCCAAGACUGCAGUUGAUAUCAAUCAUUCUUGCAUUAUAAACCCAGAGGAAGUUCGAACAGUCGCGAGGCAAAAUUCAAAAAUGACUUUAGCGCAAUAUAAAAUUCACAACAAAAACGUACACAAAACAUUUUUUAUUUUGUAGUAUACAAAUGUAUAACGUUGAAGCACACGCCGAGAAAAAAAAAUCAAAACUUUAAAAGCUACAACAACUUAACAUUUAGAUCUUAACGGUGAUGGGUUAUUUAUCGCGUAAAAACGUAAAUUAUCCUCAAAAUAUAAGAUGUUAAAAAAAAAGAAAAACAAAAAAAAAAUAAUAAUAAAAAAAUCAGUAAUCGUAAAUACAUUUAUAAAGAACCACAUAACGUUGGAAAUUCCAAUUUGGUACUUUUUUCGCGUAAACUGGGAGAUCAAAAAAUUAAUCGUAACUAUAAAAGAAAAAAAAAUUACUAAAAUAUAAAUCUUAAUUUCUUAUUCAUUAAAUUUCAGUUCUGUGAAAUAACAUCGUUAUGCAAUAAUAAAACAUUUACGCAUUUACAACCCCGUGAUUAUGAUUAAAAUUCAAUUCCUUUUUUUUUCGAACGAAAUGAUAGGAAUAUAAAAACGCUCAUUUCGAUACAUUUAUCUCAUCCGUGAUAUUGAUUUGCUCUUUUGUGUGUUUUUCUCAUUUAACAUUCAUUCGCAGAGGUGUAAAAAAUGGCAAAUGAGAGAACAAAUGAAAUUAAAAAUCGAAAAAAUCCGAUUUUUUCUCCAAAUUUACAUAGAAUACGAGUACCAAGGUGAUCCUAAUUACAUCUGAAUUAAUUCUCUCAGCACCGAUGCCUUUUCUUUACACCUCUGCUUCAGCGUCACCUUAUUGUUAGGCUUAGUCAACAUACCACAAGUAAUAUUUUAGCUGUCUUCACAUCGAAGUACAUAUCACAGCGAACACAAAUCAUAGUACAAUACACCGCGUCGCUAUUAUGGCCCUAUGAAUUUCAUAUAUGCUUAAAAAAUACAAUUUAUAUUCGAAGACAAUCAUCAAAUACAAUAUGUAUCUAAUCUAGCAUUUAAAUUUCUAAAAAAAAAAGUUCCCAGUCGUCGUUGACACAGCCGCAGCUUCACAUUGGCAACACAACGAUGUCAAUUAGAGCAUACGUAAUCUGCAUAUGCUGCAGAUAAACAUAAAAUAUUUACGAGAUAAAUCGAUCGGAUGAAAAUUUUCCCUUUGAUAUCAUUCAGCGAGCGUGAUUGUUUUUUUUCUCACUUCCUUCCUGCGUCGUCGAAUCCGUUAAUACGCAACACGAUAAAUUACAACCCACAUCAUCAACAUAGCUAGUACAAUAUCAUUCAAAUUAACCGUCGAUUUAGAUUAAAAAAAAAAAAAAAUACAACC